rnacentral:rRNA from 1 species
CUAAUACCGAUAUGACUGUCCGCCGCAUGGUGGAUGGUGUAAAGCUCCGGCGGUGCAGGAUGAGCCCGCGGCCUAUCAGCUUGUUGGUGAGGUAGUGGCUCACCAAGGCGACGACGGGUAGCCGGCCUGAGAGGGCGACCGGCCACACUGGGACUGAGACACGGCCCAGACUCCUACGGGAGGCAGCAGUGGGGAAUAUUGCACAAUGGGCGAAAGCCUGAUGCAGCGACGCCGCGUGAGGGAUGAUGGCCUUCGGGUUGUAAACCUCUUUCAGCAGGGAAGAAGCGAGAGUGACGGUACCUGCAGAAGAAGCGCCGGCUAACUACGUGCCAGCAGCCGCGGUAAUACGUAGGGCGCAAGCGUUGUCCGGAAUUAUUGGGCGUAAAGAGCUCGUAGGCGGCUUGUCACGUCGGUUGUGAAAGCCCGGGGCUUAACCCCGGGUCUGCAGUCGAUACGGGCAGGCUAGAGUUCGGUAGGGG